GAGAUUUAGGUAAAGUAGAAGCUGCUAACUUCUAACUAAAGCGGUUAAACUCCGUUUAGAUCUUU
rnacentral:tRNA from 1 species